rnacentral:rRNA from 1 species
AUUGAACGCUGGCGGCAGGCCUAACACAUGCAAGUCGAGCGGAUGAUGGGAGCUUGCUCCUUGAUUCAGCGGCGGACGGGUGAGUAAUGACUAGGAAUCUGCCUGGUAGUGGGGGACAACGUUUCGAAAGGAACGCUAAUACCGCAUACGUCCUACGGGAGAAAGCAGGGGACCUUCGGGCCUUGCGCUAUCCGAUGAGCCUAGGUCGGAUUAGCUUGUUGGUGAGGUAAUGGCUCACCAAGGCGACGAUCCGUAACUGGUCUGAGAGGAUGAUCAGUCACACUGGAACUGAGACACGGUCCAGACUCCUACGGGAGGCAGCAGUGGGGAAUAUUGGACAAUGGGCGAAAGCCUGAUCCAGCCAUGCCGCGUGUGUGAAGAAGGUCUUCGGAUUGUAAAGCACUUUAAGUUGGGAGGAAGGGUUGUAGAUUAAUACUCUGCAAUUUUGACGUUACCGACAGAAUAAGCACCGGCUAACUCUGUGCCAGCCGCCGCAGUAACAC